AGCAAAGCAUAAAAAAGUGAUAAAAAUGUCACAGUAUAGUAAGGGAUAAAAGGUCAUAAAAAAGUCAUAGUAAGUAAGGCAUAAAAAGUCAUAAAAACGACAUAAUAUAGUGAGGAAUAAAAAUGUAAUAGUAUAGUAAGGCAUAAAAGGUCAUAAAAAUGUCAUAGUAUAUUAAGGCAUAAAAAGUCAUAAAAAUGUCAUAGUAUAGUAAGGCAUAAAAAGUCAUAAAUAUGUCAUAGUAUAGUAAGGCAUAAAAAGUCAUAAAAACAUUAUAGUUUAGUUAGAGAUAAAAAGGCAUAAAAAGUCAUAGUAUAGCAAAGCAUAAAAACGUGAUAAAAAUGUCAUAGUAUAGUAAGGGAUAAAAGGUCAUAAAAAAGUCAUAGUAUAGUAAGGCAUAAAAAGUCAUAAAAACGACAUAAUAUAGUGAGGAAUAAAAAUGUAAUAGUAUAGUAAGGCAUAAAAGGUCAUAAAAAUGUCAUAGUAUAAUAAGGCAUAAAAAGUCAUAAAUAUGUCAUAGUAUAGUAAGGCAUAAAAAGUCAUAAAAACAUUAUAGUUUAGUUAGAGAUAAAAAGGCAUAAAAAGUCAUAGUAUAGCAAAGCAUAAAAACGUGAUAAAAAUGUCAUAGUAUAGUAAGGGAUAAAAGGUCAUAAAAAUGUCAUAGUAUAGUAAGGGAUAAAAGGUCAUAAAAAAGUCAUAGUAUAGUAAGGCAUAAAAAGUCAUAAAAACGACAUAAUAUAGUGAGGAAUAAAAAUGUAAUAGUAUAGUAAGACAUAAAAGGUCAUAAAAAUGUCAUAGUAUAGUAAGGCAUAAAAAGUCAUAAAAAUGUCAUAGUAUAGUAAGGCAUAAAAAGUCAUAAAUAUGUCAUAGUAUAGUAAGGCAUAAAAAGUCAUAAAAACAUUAUAGUUUAGUUAGAGAUAAAAAGGCAUAAAAAGUCAUAGUAUAGCAAAGCAUAAAAACAUGAUAAAAAUGUCAUAGUAUAGUGAGGGAUAAAAGGUCAUAAAAAAGUCAUAGUAUAGUGAGGAAUAAAA